AGAGUUUGAUCCUGGCUCAGGAUGAAUGCUGGCGGCGUGCCUAACACAUGCAAGUCGAGCGGCAGCGAGGGGUGCUUGCACCCUGUCGGCGAGCGGCGAACGGCUGAGUAACGCGUAGGAAUUUGCCCCAAAGUGAGGAAUAACUGCCCGAAAGGGUAGCUAAUGCCGCAUAUGGUCUUCGGAUUAAAGGAUUUAUCCGCUUUGGGAGAAGCCUGCGUUGGAUUAGGUUGUUGGUAGGGUAAUGGCCUACCAAGCCGACGGUCCAUAGCUGGUCUGAGAGGAUGAUCAGCCAGACUGGAACUGAGACACGGUCCAGACUCCUACGGGAGGCAGCAGUGAGGAAUCUUCCACAAUGGGCGAAAGCCUGAUGGAGCAACGCCGCGUGAAGGAUGAAGGCCUUCGGGUUGUAAACUUCUUUUAUGAGUGAAGAAUAUGACGGUAACUCAUGAAUAAGCACCGGCUAACUACGUGCCAGCAGCCGCGGUCAUACGUAGGGUGCAAGCAUUAUCCGGAGUGACUGGGCGUAAAGAGUUGCGUAGGCGGUUUAAUAAGUGAAUAGUGAAACCUGGUGGCUCAACCAUACAGACUAUUAUUCAAACUGUUAAACUCGAGAAUGGUAGAGGUAACUGGAAUUUCUUGUGUAGGAGUGAAAUCCGUAGAUAUAAGAAGGAACACCAAUGGCGUAGGCAGGUUACUGGGCCAUUUCUGACGCUAAGGCACGAAAGCGUGGGGAGCGAACCGGAUUAGAUACCCCGGUAGUCCAA
rnacentral:rRNA from 1 species